rnacentral:lncRNA from 1 species
ACCGAACAUAUAAAACAAUACGAUAAUGGAGAUAUUAAAACACAACUUUACCUAACUUUUAAUAAAAAAUUCUUCAAAGCUGGUCUUCAUUCACGUACCACUUGUAAACUACAACAAAAACAAUCUGAUAAUAGAGAUAUUCAAAACAAUACAAUUUAAACCUAAACUUUAGACAAAAAUUCCUCCAAAGUCAACUGACAUUCAUAUACCACAUGUAAACAACAAUAAAACAAUACAAUUAUAGAGAUAUCAAUCAAUAUAAUUAAACCUAACUAUUGCACAAAAAAAUUUCCAAAGCCGACCGACAUGCAUUACUACCCCUAUUAAGCAAAACAACAACAACAACAAUAACAACAACAAUAACAACAACAACAACAACAACAACAAUAAUAAUAAUAAUAAUAACAACAAAUAGUAAGAUAAUAAAAUAUUAUGAUUAAACCUAAUCUUUAUAUAAAAGGUUUUCAAAGUCCGAUAAAACAUUCGACUAUAAUAUAAACUUGAAAUUAAUGAAAAAUAAUCAUCUUUAUUGAAAACAAAGAAAGAAAAGAAAGUACUUGAAUAUCAAAAAUAAAGAAAACGAUUUAAAAUAAGGCAGAGAACAAACAAUUACAUAUAUGCUAAAAAAAUAUAUAUGAUUGAUAUUAAAAAAAUUAUCAAUUGGGAUAGAAGGAUUGAAAUGGAUCCUCAAUUUAUAAAGUCCAAAAAACAAUUAUUCCAAGAAAAAGUUACCUAUAUAUGAAAUUUAUUUAUUUAUUUUGGAAAAAAAAAAAGUAAAAAUCCUAAAUCUAAUUUGGAAAGUUGAGAACAAUCGUUAUACGUAUCAAACAAUUUGGUGUAGGAAAUUAUGGUAACAAUUUCAAUAAUUGCCUUUUGAAUAUUUUUAUAUUAAAGGACUAAGUCCUUUCUAAUAUUACUUUAUGUUUGAAUGUAUUUUACCAAAAUUGUGUAGCUUUCUACCAAAUAUUUUAGGAUUCCUUAAUUUCUAAACUAUAUUUUUCUUUUAUCAUACAUUUUAGGAGUCCUUACUUUUAAAUGUAUUAUAAAUAUAGUAUAUAAUAAUUAGAGAAAUUAAGUGAAAAGACAAUUUUAUCAAUUAUAGGAAUUUUUAAUAAAGGGUAAAAAGUUCAAAUCACUUUUCUAAAGAUCUUUACACUUUUAAAGAUUAUAUAAAUUAUAUAUAUGUUAUGAUAUAUAUCAAUUAUAGUGAAUGUCUAUCAAGAUCUAUUUGAUGUCUAUCAGAAUUUGAUGUAUUUGUCUUUUAGUGUGAAACUAGGGCAAAUUUUCCUUAUAAAUAGAAGGACUUCCUUCAUUGUAAAUCAUCUCUCAAGAGAAGAAAUAAAAAUCACUCUCUCUAUUCUCUCUACUUUUCUUCUUGUGCUUUCUUGUUCUUUUUUAUUUUAUAACACGUUAUCAGCACGAGACUCUACCGUCUCAAAUCUGAAGGCUAAGGCUAAGGUAUUAUUUUUUUUAUUUCUUCCUUUUUCCAUAUGGCUAACAAUCUUACGAAGUGUGAGUUCAUUGCCCUUCAAAGUUCGGGAAAGAACUAUAUUUCAUGGGUGUUGGAUGCUGAAAUCCACCUAGAUGCUAUGGGUCUUGGAAACGCCAUAAAGAAUGAAAAUACAACAUCUAGUCAAAAUCGUGCUAAGGCUAUGAUUUUCUUGCAUCAUCAUCUUGACUAAGUUCUGAAAAUUAAGUACCUUACUACUAAGGAUCCACUCGUAUUGUGGAAUAGCCUAAAAGAAAGGUUUGACCACUUAAAGAUGGUCAUCCUCCUAAAAUCACGAUAUGAGUGGAUGCAUCUAAGAUUUCAAGUCUACAAGUCUAUUCAUGAAUACAAUUCUGUCAUGUUCAGAAUUUCUUCUCAAUUGAAACUUUGUGGAGAGACAGUCAAUGAUAAUGAUAUGAUGGAAAAGAAGCUCUCCACUUUUUAUGCCUCGAAUGUGCUCUUACAGCAACAAUAUCGAGAAAAAGGUUUCAAGAAGUAUACUGAACUGAGUUCUUAUCUUCUCGUGGAUGAACAAAAUAAUAAUUUAUUGAUGAAAAAUCACGAGAACCGAUCAACUGGAUCUGCACCAUUUCCUGGGGUGAAUGAUGUGCACGCUCACCAUGCUAGGCGUGGAAAAGGUCGCGGCCCUGGUCGUGAACGUGGUCGUGGUCGUGGUCGUGAUGACCAAGAAAGAAAUCCUAUUUCGGGUGUUAAUAAUUCAUCAAACAAAAAGAGAAAAGAUGAGAAACGUGAAGCAGUUACUUGUUUUUGAUGUAGCGAAAAAGGACAUUAUUCACGUGAUUGUCGUGCUCUCAAGAACUUGGUUGAUCUUUAUCAAGCAUCACUAAAGAAGAAAAAGAAAAAUCCCGAGACUAACUUUCUCUCUGAAAAUAAUGUUGACAUCACAUAUUUGUAUGUAGCAGACUUUUUCAAGCACCCUGAAGGAAAGAUUGAUCACUUAAUUGGUGAUGGUUCCGUAAAUAUGAAAGAAUGAAUGAUUUUUAAUUUUGUUUUAUUUUUAUUGAUAAUAGUUAGUGAAUAAAGAAUCAUGUAAAAGUAGUUGUUUGCAUGAGUAUUAGUUUUUGAUUAAUAUUGAUUAGUUCAAUUAUGUUAUUGUAGUUUAUUAUUGAUUGAAUUGAAUUUUAAUUUUAGCAUUAUUUAUUAAAAAAAAAGACGAUAGUACAGAGGUUUACUUUUUGCAUGAAAACAAUACGUGGAGUGCUUGAUUUGCAUUCUUUACAAUGCAAAAUUAUCAUUCUUUACAAUGUUGUACAAACAAUAUGAUUAAGAUUGCAUUUUGUAAUGUAUUCUUUAUAUUAACAUUCUUUAAUAUAAUAAUAUUCUCAUAUGAUUAUGUAAUAUAAUAAUAUUUUUAUAUUCUCAUUUCGUAAUACGAUUACAAUUGCAUCUCGUACUAAUUGGAUAUGUUUCUUUUUAAUUACUUAGUUAAAGUGUGAUUAAUAAUUUUUUGAUAUUAUAAGUUUUCACUUUGUACAAAGAUUUAAUAUACAUUUUAUUUGGUGCAUGUUAUUUUAUUUAAAGAUAUGGAUAAUUUUCAAGAAGAUAUUUGUUGGAUUGAUUCUGGCACUACACAUACGAUAUUCAAAGACAAAAAAUAUUCUCUCAUCUAAACAUGGACAAGAUUAAUGUUACUAUAAUUUUUGAUAGUGCUGAUUUGAUUGAAGGCUUCGGAAAAGUCAUUAUAAUCUUGCCCAAGGGAACUAAACUCAUCAUAUAUAAUGUUAUGUUCUCUCCCAAGUCUCAGAGAAAAUUGAUGAGUUUUAAAGAUAUCCGUGAAAAUGGUUAUCAUAUCAAGACAUUUGAUGAGAUGAAUCUUGAAUAUCUUGGUAUCACCAAGAAUGUCUCUGGGCAGACAUGUGUUAUUGAAAAACUUCCUGCUUUAUCUUCUGGCCUAUAUUGGACAAAGAUUUGUGAAAUUGAGGCACAUUCCAUAGUAAACCAAAAGUUUACUGAUUCCAAUACUUUUUUACUUUGGCAUGAUCAUCUGGGACAUCCAGGAUCAAAAUGAUGAGACGAAUAAUAGAAAAUUCAAAUGGGCAUCCAUUAAAGAACUUGAAGGUUCUUUCGAAUGGUGAAUUUUCAUGUACUGCUUGUUAUCAAGGCAAGUUGAUUGUGAGACCAUCGCCAACAAAAGUUGGGAUUGAGUCCCACGCGUUCUUGGAAUGCAUACAUAGGGACAUUUGUGGAUCAAUUCACCCACCAAGUGGGUCGUUUAGAUACUUCAUGAUCCUAAUAGAUGCUUCUUCUAGAUGGUCUCAUGUGUGCCUUUUGUCAUCUCGCAACUUGACAUUUGCAAAAUUGUUGGCAUAAAUAAUAUGAUUACGGGCACAAUUUUCUAAUAAUCAAAUCAAGUCUAUUCGCCUUGAUAAUGCUGCAGAAUUUUCAUCCCAAGCAUUUAAUGACUAUUGCUUAUCGAUCGAGAUAAAAGUGGAACAUCCUGUACCCCAUGUUCACACUCAAAAUGGUCUUGCUAAGUCAUUAAUUAAACUUCUGCAGUUGAUAGCAAGACCAUUACUUCAUAUGUGGGGGUACUGUCAUAUCUUGGAGAUCAACAAAGCAGUCUAUCGUAGCCACUUCAUCGAAUCACUGAGAUUAUAGCUAUUCAUAAAGCAAGCCAAGAGUGUGAGUGGUUGAGGUCCAUAAUAUAUCUCAUUCGAGAAAAAUGUGGCUUAAAAUGUGAGAAAGUACCCACAAUUUUAUAUGAAGAUAAUGCAGCAUGCAUAGCACAACUGAAAUGUGGAUUCAUAAAAGAAGAUAGAACGAAGCACAUAUGACCAAAGCUCUUCUAUACACAUAAGCUCCAAAAGAAUGGUGAUAUUGACGUACAACAGAUUCGUUCAAGUGACAAUGUGGCUGAUUUAUUCACUAAGUCUCUUCCAACUGCAACUUUUAAAAAGAUGGUACACAAGAUCAGACUAUAAAGAUUCAAGGAUGUUCUUAUUAGGGGAGCUAAUAUGUGUUGUACUCUUUUUUUCUUACGAGGUUUUGUCCCACUGGGUUUUCCUUGUAAGAUUUUUAAUGAGGCAGCCUAUAUGCGUAUUGUUUGACAUUCUAGUGAAUGUCUAUGAAGAUCUAUUUGAUGUCUAUCAGGAUUUGAUGUAUUUGUCUUUUAGUGUAAAACUAGGGCAAAUUCCCCUUAUAAAUAGAAGGGCUUUCUUCAUUGUAAAUCAUCCCUCAAGAGAAGAAAUAAAAACCACUCUCUUUAUUCUCUCUACUCUUCUUCUUGUUCUUUCUUGCUUUAUAACAAUAUAUAAAUUAUAGAUAUUAUAUCUAUAUCUAUAAUCUAUAAUCUAUAAUACAUUAAAAGUGUGAAGACCCUUAGAAAAGUGAUUUGAACUUUUUAUCCUUUAUUAAAAGACUUCACAAUAGAUAAAAUCGUCUUUUUAUUUUUUGUUCCUCAAAUAAAUAUUAUUAAUAUUGAAUAUUGAUUUUAAUAAAUAUAUAAAAAAAUUAAAAUCUCAAAUAUAUGGGAACACUCCCAAUUUUAUGGAAAAUUUUGUUAGGUGUCGGCUAUAAUUAAUUAAUAGUUUUAGUUACUUAGAUUUCCUUCUAAUAAUAGUAGACUGGUUUUAAGGAAAAAAAUAUUAAAACAAACGGGAUUAAAUUUCAAGACAAGCAAACACAAAAUUUCCUUUUUUCUUUUUUAGUAGCAUACCACAAUUAGUAUUACAAAAAAAAAAAAAAAAAAAAGCAUACCGAAAUUAGGAUUCUAAUUAAGCAAAAAACUCUAUAUUAAAUAUGACUUAAAACGUAUAAAUUAUUUUUAAGUAACUUCUGUUAUAAAAUAAUCAUUAUUUAAUUAAUUUUAAAAUUAAUUCAAGUCCUUAAUAGGUAAACAUUCAUUAUAUUUAACACUUUUAAAUUAUUAAAACUUUACCUUAUGUAAAAAAAAAUAAUUUCUACAAUUUUAUUUUAUAAGUAAUAUUUUAAAUCAAACUUACAAGAAACAUAACUUCUUCUACUUAUAUUUUUUCUUAUUUGAUUCAAGUCGUCUUCUUUCAUUCAAUAUGUUCAUUCUUUUGCCUUUUAUUUUUCUAAUAGUUUUAAAGAUUAUUUAUAUAUGCAUUAUAUAUAAUGAACAACUGACAAUGAAUUUUCCCUUAUGAUUUUUCUCGCGUUCUUCUUGCAGUUGAAAAUUUUAGAUUAAAAACUCAACGUAACAAGCAUGUUGCCGAAUGAAGUAGCCGAAAAAAUUAAAGAUUUAUCUCUGUACUUUUUAUUGCUUUGUUAAAUAUUUUUUUUUGAAUGUAGGUGUUUAUUAUUAUUAAUUAUCUGUUUCUAUAAUAAUCCACUGUGUUUUUAUACAGGUGUAUUUAUGUGUUGAUCGGGUUAGAGGUCCUUAAUUAUCUUCCUUGUUUGAUUUUUGUAAUAUUAUUCUUUUUAGUUUAUUCUCUGUUUUAUAUUCAUAUAUAUAUAUGAUUAGGAUUAAUUGUGCGAAGUCCUUUUAUUUUAAGAGAAAUGUAUAAUUCGAUGAAAGAAGCUUUGGUUCGAGAAGUUGAAUUUCUUACGCAAUGAGUGUUUAUUAUUAAUUAUUAAUAAUUGUUGGAUGUGAUUAACAGAUGCAAUGAUACAUCUAUUCUGUUUGUUACGUAUUUAAAAAGCAAUUGAUAAGAAAUGUUCUUUUAACAUCUAUAAUCUAUAUGUAUAAUCUAUCUAUAAUUUAUUAAAAGUGUGAAGAUUUUCAGAAGAAUAAUUUAAACUUUUUGUCUUUCAUUAAAAGACUUUUCUUUAGAUAAAACUGUCUUUUCACUAUUUUUCUAAUUUAUUAUUUAAUUAUUUUUUAUUAUAUUAACUAGACUUCCUAAAAUAUAUGGUAAAAGAAUUAAUCUAUACUUCCUAAAAUAUAUGAGACUCCUAAAAUAUAUGGUAGGAGAAUUAAUUAAUAUUUUUCUUUCUAGUGUUCAAUUAGAAAAAUACUCUUAAAAUAGGACUCUGUUAAGGAAAUACUUCUAUAAAUAUUGAGAUGUACGUUGAACUAGAGAACAAACUGGUUUACCUAUUGGGAGAAUAUGAUUGAUGCCCAUCUAACUUGAUUCGAUUCUAUGUCAAGAUUAGUGGAUGCUUGAUUUCCGAAUGCUCAACUUCUUCACUAUUUUUAUCAGCAUAAUAGAAUUCAACAUGUGUGUAUAUAUAGCUUCUUUAAUUUCAUUCAAAAUCAUUCUUUAGGGUCAAAACUUUCGCUCAGACAAGAAUUAGUUAGAUCAAAAUCGAAGCUUCGUGAUCACUAUUAUAUUGUUUUUUUAUAGUUUAUAGAUCGUAGAUGAAUGUCGGUUAGCUAUGAAGAAUUUCUUGUGUAAAGGUUUGGUUUAAUUGUAUUGUUCUGAUAUCUCUAUUAUCGUACUAUUUUGUCAUUGUUUACAUAUGGUAGAUGAGUAUCGAACGACUUUGAGAAAUUUUUUUGUGUAAAGAUUAAAUUUAAUUGUAUUAUUUUGAUGCCUCUAUGAUUGUAUUAUUUUGUUGCAAUUUACAAAUGAUAGAUGAAUGUCGAUCGACUUUAAAAAAUAUUUUUGGUAAAGGUUUGAUUUAAUAAAUAAAUUCUUCAUAUUUACAUAUUCAAAAGAUAUUAAAUUUAAUUAUUAUAUUCAUCUUUAUUAUUUAAACAAAUAUCCUAUUUAGUGUAAUGUUUGAACUCAUUAAAAUGAGAUACACGUACAAAACGCGUACACCUAAACUAGUUACUACUAUAUACAAGGAGAUAUCAAGUAGGAGAAUAUCAAGUGUUUGUAGUCCUUAUAAAGAUAUUUUAGAUAUUCAAUAUAUUUUGAGGUUUGUUCUAUUUGAUGUUAUGAUAAAUCAUUGAUUUGAAUUAGUCAUUUAUUUUAUCAAAUAGGACAUUGAUUAAUGCAUUGAUUUUCUUAGUUUAUGUAUAAUGUGUUCGUGUAAUUAGUCUAGAAUUUUGAGCUGUUAACUUGAGAUCAGAUUUGAGUUGACCAAGAAUUGAUUUGAUCCCGACAAUCUGUAAUUAGGAGAUUGAUUUCUCUGAUAUAAAACUAAGUGUGUAUCAAGAGAUUCAAGCCAAUAUAAUAAGCAACAAUAAGAACAACAAAGUGCUAGUGAAUCGAAAGAUGCCACACACGGCUUCACUAGGCUUCAACACUUGUUUUGACUAGAAAAAUAAGUUUACAACAAGAACAACAAAUGACAAUUUUGCUAGUGAAUCGAAAGAGCCCCACACGGCUUCUCUAGACUCUUAGAUUCAACAACACAAUGUUAUCAAGAUUACAAAAGGUAUAGAAACUUGACAUACAAUAUUCAAUAAUCUAAGAACCCUAACAAUGAAAAAGGACCCUAAGACUAAUGAAUAUCAACACCAAAUUCUUACUUGGACCAAGAGGAACUCAAGAACCCCAAGACCCUAGUUUCUAGCCAAGAUCCAACACUAGUAUCACUCUACUAGUGAGCCUUUGAUUUUGGCCUCUCCAAAAUGAGAAAGAGAAGUCACCAAUAUUACAAGUCUUUUGUUUCUUGAACAACUCCAAAAAUAACCCUAACACUAUCUAUUUAUAUUAGUCCACAAAGGGAGAUAACAAAUGACCAUCCUACUCUUGCCAAGGGGUUUAUACACUUCAAGGCUCCUCUUCACACUUAAAAACAUUUAAUCCAUUGGAAGGCUCAAGUACCAACUCACACACGGCCAUUUGCAUGAACAUAGCUUGGAGUUUUUGAAACUCCCGAGCUUGGCUACGUGUGAAUGGUCGUGAACUUGUUGGACAGCAUUCGACAUUUGGUCAUUCUCAACCACAUCCACUAAAGAAAGAUCACACACGUUGAAAGUGUUGUGCACUUGGUAUUCCGGGGAAAGGUCAAUAUUGUAGGCAUUAUCAUUGAUUCUUUCAAGUACUUGGAAUGGACCAUCAUCCCUUGGCAUCAAUUUGGUCUUCCUUUGAGAUGGAAACCGAUCCUUCCUAAGGUGCACCCACACCCAAUCUCCUGGUUCAAGAAUGAGCUUCUUUCUUCCUUUGUUUGCCUGCUUUACAAUCUCUUGAUUUUUCUUCUCAAGUCAAAGCCACACCUUCUCAUGCAACUUUUUAUACAAUCUGUCUGCUUUCUUCCAUCUAGGAUAAUCAUAAGAUCACUUGGAAAAGGAGUUAAAUCCAAAGGGGUAAAGGGGUUGAGUCCCUAUACACGCUCAAAGGGAGUCAUUCCCGUACUUAAGUGUAUGAAACAAUUAUAGGCAAACUCAAUUAAUGGUAGGUGCUCCUCCCAAGAAUUCAAUUUUCCCUUAACCAUGAAACGUAGCAUAGCACCCAAAGUCCUAUUUACUACUUCCAUUUGGUCAUCGAUUUGUGGGUGGCAAGAAGUGGAUAACAAUAACUUGGUACCAAGCCUAUCCCACAUGGACUUCCAAAAGUGACUUAGGAGCUUAAAGUCCCUAUCACUCACAAUGGUUCUCAGAACACCAUGCAACUUGAAAACAUUAUCAAUAAACAAAGAGGCCACACUAGGUGCAUCAUCAUAUUUAGAGCAUGGAAUAAAGUAUGCCAUCUUAGAAAACCAAUCAACCACUACAAAGAUACUAUCCCAGCCUCUUCUAGUCGUUGGCAACCCUAACACAAAAUCCAUAGAUAUAUCAAGCCAAAGAUGUAAAGGGGUGGGUAGCGGGGUGUACAACCCAUGAGGUUGGAGCCGAGAUUUGGCUCCUUUGCCAUCUACAUAUUGGCCGCAAAUCCUAGACACAUCCUUGUGCAUUUUUGGCCAAUAAAAUUGCUCCUCCAAUAUUUCAAGGGUCUUUUCAACCCUAAAGUGACCCAUUAGACCUCCAUUGUGUGCUUCUCUCAUGAAUAACUCUCUCCAAGAGCUAGAGGGUAUACACAAUCACCUACUUAGAAAUAAGUAACCGUCAAACUUGGCAUAGGGAUUUGAACCCCUAGCCGAAUCCCACUUGUCCUUAACCCAUUCUUCACAUUCCCUAUAGAUAGAAGCAAAGUGAGGGUCCUCGGGAUAAAAUUCCUUUAAGAUCUCAAAACCCAUCAAUUAUGAAGACAAAGUAGACACAAGAACGUGUUUUCAAGACAAAGCAUCGGCAACCACAUUGUCCUUACCCUUUUUGAAAUGAAUAACAUAAGGGAAAGUUUCAAGAAACUCAAUCCACUUGGCAUGCCAUUUGUGAAGCUUAUCUUGUGCCUAAAGAUGAUUCAAGGACUCAAGGUCCAUUUAGAUCAUGAAUUCUUUAGGCCAUAAAUGAUGUUUCCAAGUGUCCAAGGCUCUAAUCAAGGCAUAAAACUCUAAAUCGUAUGUAGAGUAGUUUAGAGUUGCUCUUUUGAGAUUUUCGCUAAAGUAGGCAAUAGGCUUCAAUUCUUGCAUUAAAACUGCACCUCUACCAACUUUUCUAGCAUCACAUUCAACCUCAAAAUUCUUGUCAAAAUUUAGAAAUUAUAACAAAGGGGCCGAGAUGAGCAUAGCUUUCAAGUCAUUAAAGGACUUAGCUUGUUCAUCUCCCAACUUGAAAGGCCGAUACUUUUUAAUCACUUCGGUCAAGGAGGCGGCUAUGGUGCUAAAUCCUUUGACGAAACAUCUAUAAAAACUAGCAAACCCGUGGAAGCUUCUCACUUCACCUAUGGUUUUGGGAGUUGGCCAAUUUUUGAUAGCGUCAAUCUUACAUUAAUCUACUUUAACCCCUCUUGAGCUCACCACAAAACUGAGAAAUACAACUUCUUGGACACCAAAAGAACACUUUUCUAAAUUAUCAUAUAACUUCUCCUUUUGGAGGACAUCAAACACACAUUGUAAACAUUUUACAUGCUCAUCUAAGGACCUACUAUACACCAACACAUCAUUAAAGUAGACAACAACAAACUUUUUGAUAAAAGGCUUCAUCACAUGAUUCAUUAGCCUCAUGAAAGUACUAGGAGCAUUUGUUAGGUUGAAUGGCAUAACCAUCCAUUCAUAGAGACCAAAUUUGGUCUUAAAGGCGGUUUUUCAUUCAUCACCCGGUUGCAUACGGAUUUGGUGAUAGUCACUCCUCAAAUCAAUUUUAGAAAACAAAAAUGAACCACUCAAUUUAUCAAGCAUAUCAUCUAGGAAUAGGGUGACGAUAUUUUACCGUUAUCUUGUUGAUGGCUCAGCAAUCAACGCCCAUACGCCAAGUCCCAUAUUUUUUAGGAACUAGUAGCACCGGGACCGCGCAAGGUCUCAUAGGACCGCGCAAGGUCUCAUACUCAUCUUGAUAUAACCUUUGUUGAAGAGUUUCUCAACUUGGCGUUGUAAUUACUUGGUAUUUAUCGGGUUUCUCCUAAAAGCCAAUUUGUUAGGCAAUUGUGAAUCCGGCACAAAAUCUAUUUGGUGCUCAAUUCCCCGAAGAGGGAGCAUCCCUUGUGGAAGUUCUUUGGGAAAAACAUCUUCAUAAUCCUGCAACACACAAGAAAUAAAAGGAGAAAUAGAAGAAUUAGUGGGGUUAGUGUUAAGACAAUGUGCCAAAAGAAGCAUGGGUGUCUCUUCAUCAUGAUCCACGAAGAGCUUCUUAUUUCUAACCAACAUCACCAUGUUUUUUUUUCCUUUGAUGUUGAGGCAGCCCUGGAUAUCCCCACUAUCCCACCUAUGGGUUCCCCCUCUUUUUAUUUAUUUUUGGAUUUCUUCCCCUUUUCUUUCAAUUCUUUAAUCCUUUAAUGCAACUCGUUCACUUGUGAAGGCAAAAGUGGAUGAAGUAUGACCUUUCGGCCAUCCUUCUCAAGUGUAUAUCGAUUAUACCUCCCAUCAUGUUUAGUAGACCUAUCAUAUUGUCAAGGUAUACCUAAUAACAAGUGACAUGCUUCCAUUGGUAUUACAUUACAAAGCACUUCAUCGUGGUAGUUUCCUACCUUAAACUGUAUCACACAUUGCCUCAUGACUUUUAAUUCACCACCUUCAUUCAACUACUGUAACUUAUAAGGGCCAGUAUGAAGUGUAGUUGGAAAUUUCAAGAAGUUCACUAUAGCAACACUAACAACAUUUGCACAACUACACUAUCUAUCACCAAAGUGCACAUACUUCCCUUCACAAGCCAUUUAGUAUGAAAUAGAUUCUCCCGUUGGCUAGAAUCAUCUAUUGCCUUACUAAUCAUGGCAUGCCUCACUACAAAAUUUAGAACCACGCACUCCCCUUCUUAUGGAUAAGCAUCCUCACAAUCAUCAUCAUCAUCAUCAUUAUGUGGCUCAUUUUUGGGUUCCUCUCUAUCUUGAUACUUGUCUUUAUUUUCUUCUUUUUCAAGACCCACUUCCUCACCAAGGUAAUACAAUAUCUCUUCCCUUAGGAUCAUAUUGCAUCGGUUUGGACAUUAAUUAGCUUUAUGUCCCCAACCUUUGCACUUGAAACAUUGGAACCCUUUAGGAUUAAGAUACUUGUGAGCUUCUUGUCGGGGAGGAAAUUUGUGGACUAUUUUAGGCUCGAGUAGCCUUAUAGUGAUGGGUUGGUCCUUGUUUUUGGGCCAACCCAAAGAUGGUUGAACCAUAUCUUUGCUCCUCGGCCAACCCAAGGUUGAUGGUCCAUUUGCCUUGAAUGACGACCUCUCUUUAAGCUCCCUUUUAAUCUUAAGAGCCGCUUGGAAAAUUCCUUCAACGGUAUCAAACAUGUGAAGCGCCAAAUGAGUGGAAAUCUCUUUAUUCAACCCACACUUGAACCGAAUGAUGUCAUGGCCAAUUUGUUCUCCAUGAUGAUCAAGCUUCAACAUGAGUUGUUAAAACUCAUCAUAAUAUGCCAUCACACUUCAAUUCCCUUGUCACAAAUUGUACAACCUAGCAAGCAACUCAUGACGAUAACUUUCAGGAAGAUACCGUUGCCUCAUUAGAUACCUCAACUGUAACCAUGGUGAUGGUUGUCCAUCAAUCAACUCAUUACCAAAUAGUUUGACAUAUUCCCACCAUGUGUUAGCAUAACCUUCAAAGUGAGCUACGGCAUAACAACUCUUCUUCUCCUCCGAUAUAUCAUUCACUUGAAACACUUUAUCACACUCCGAAUCCCAAGCAAGAUACACCUCGGAGUCACUUUCACCCUUAAAUAUAGGUAGGCUCAAUUUGAUGGUAUUGAUGCCUACGUCUUUCUCUUGAUGUUGGUUUCCCAUUUCUCUAUACCCUUGGUAUCUUCUUAGAUCCACACGUACCCGUCUCAUCUCUUAUUCCCCAUAUAAGCAUCAUCAAAGGCUCUAUACCCUUCAUAAUACUCUCUACCAUAUUCCUCAAAGUGGACGGGAUGGUUUUAGACGUUUAGAACUUGAUUUAGAGGGAUUGGAUUUUUCGGAGGUAGUGGUCUUUGGUUUAGUUGAUCUUGGAAGGGGGUUCGGAUUUUGUGAAGGCAUUUGAUGUCCGAGUCCCUCUUGUAGAACUUAAAGAGUUUAGGAAUGGAUUGUUCUAUUGGAGUCUUGGUUUAGGGGGUUAUAAGUGGUUUGGCUUGCGGCAUUUAGUGGAGCUAGUGAAGGAUUUGGCAAUUGUGGCCAUGUUUUUGGAGUAACGGUGGUGGAGGAAUUUCCAUCAUGUCCACUUGAUGAAAUAUGUCGGGGAGUAGAAGGACGAGAUUUCCUUUAACUCUCCACUUGUUCUAACCUCCCACUAAUAGUCGUCACUUCUCCCCUUAUGGCUCCUACUUCCAUACUCAACCUCUCAAGAGCUCGGGUCAUAGUCUCAAGAGUAACCCUCAUAUUCUCUAUUUCAUUAGAAUCCACGGUUUGAGAUGUGGUUCCCUCCAUUUUCAAGGUAUUACCUACAUAAGCAACAAACAAGUUAGUUUAAAACCUCUCCUCACUCACACACUCUCCGAUCACUCACAUUCGAGCUCUACAAGUGUUGUAGAUUGGCUAGUAACCCAUGAAUCCUUAAGGUUUGAGUAUUCUCUUGUUCGAAGUAGAUUCUUAUUUGAAACUCAAGGAAUUUUUAUCGUACUAGAGUCAAGGAGUUACAACGUAUUCAAACGACAAAACCACACAAACAAAUGAUGACACGAAUACAAGGGUUCAAAGGACUAAUUGACAACCUAGUAGGAAUGUACUAGCUUGUUAAUUAGUUCUUGAGUCAAUUAGAUGAAACUAAGAAUCAAUAAUUAGAAACUAGAAUAUCCAAAUUGAGCUUAAUUAAUGACGUGAACAGUGAUUAAGGUGAUGUGGUAGCAUGAAAUUAGUCACGGGUCCAUACAUUUUGUUCAACAACUUGAAGCCUUAAUCUUCAUAAUUUUGUAAUGGAUGACUUUGCUUUUGGAGGGAAAGUAAAGUCUUGUAACUUUUAAACUUUUUUCAAAUCAAAAAAAUGAGGCUUCACUUUACUAGUUCCAUAAGACAAGGUUCUUUAUUUUAAGGAAAAGUGGUUGUUAAGUCAAGGAAGUGAUGUUGGCUAGUCUAUUCACAAACAAGUUUACAACUUUGUCUUACAACCCCUUUGGAUCUAUUUUAGUCUUUAUAGUGGUCAAGUUAUGAGAUGGUGAGAAGAUCAAGAUGAACACCAUAACAAUACUUCAAGAACACAACCACAAUUCACCAAUAAUAUCCCACUUUAAAGUCAAGCAACAACACACAAACUCAGUCUACUUCAAGUUCAUCAUACUACCACUUCAAGUCCACAAUAGCAAUGUCAAUAUGUGUAGCUCAACUUAGCUUUAGACACCUUUUGUGCUAAUGAGCCUUUUGUGUUGAUGAGAAAGAAAUCAACAGAAGAAACAAACUAAACAAACAAAAUAACAUCUAGAUAUAAACACACAAACACCAAUCUCGGCCAAGACAGCAACACAACACAAUUUUCUCGGCCAAGAACAAGAUGAACAGAUUUUUCUUUUUUUUUCUGAAAUUUUCAGAUUUCAGCAAUCUUUUUUUUUUGGUAUUUUUCAACUACCAAACCCAAGAUUGAUUUUGUUGGAACAAAAUAAACCACAAGAUUUGAUACCAAAUGAUAUAAAACUAAGUGUGUAUCAAGAGAUUCAAGCCAACAUAAGAAGCAACAAUAAGAACAACAAAGUGCUAGUGAAUCGAAAGAGGCCAUACACGGCUUCACUAGGCUUCAACACUUGUUUUGACUAGAAAAAUGAGUUUACAACAAGAACAACAAAUGACAAUUUUUCUAGAGAAUUGAAAGAGCCCCACACGACUUCACUACACUUUUAGAUUCAACAACACAAUGUUAUCAAGAUUACAAAAGGUAUAGAAACUUGACAUAUAAUAUUCAAUAGUCUAAGAACCCUAACAAUGAGAAAGGACCCUAAGACUAAUGAAUAUCAACACCAAAUUCUUACUUGGACCAAGAGGAACUCAAGAACCCGAAGACCCUAGUUUCUAGCCAAGAUCCAACACUAGUACCACUCUACUAGUGAGCCUUUGAUUUUGGCCUCUCCAAAAUGAGAAAGAGAAGUCACCAAUAUUACAAGUCUUCUAUUUCUUGAAUAAUAGGAAUGAGCUAACUCCAAAAAUAACCCUAACACUAUCUAUUUAUAUUAGUCCACAAAGGGAGAUAACAAAUGACCAUCCUACUCUUGCCAAGGAGUGGCCUUGGAGUGUAAGUUUAUUAAACUUCAAGGCUCCUCUUCACGCUUAAAAAUAUUUAAUCCAUUGAAAGGCUCAAGUACCAACUCACACACGUCCGUUUGGAUGAACAUAGCUUAGAUUUUUUGUAACUCCCGACUUGGCUACGUGUGAAUGGUUGUGAACUUAUUGGACAGCUUGGUACACCCGUAUCAUUUCUCUCUAUCAAUUUGGACUCAUUAUUGAUGAUGAAUUUGAAUAGACUGACAUCAUCAAAGCUGGUUUGGCACUUUGACAUUUCAAGUAAAGUUUUGACUAUAAAAUUUCAAGCAAAUAAAACUUUAUAUGUGAUGUUAAUAUCAAUUUAAAUCAUCUAGUCCUUGUGAUUGAUCAGACGUGAACUAGAUUUGUUAAAUUCAAUAUAUUUAGUUAGACCACCCGGGGCCCGGAGAGUCACUUAAAGUGGUUAACUGUUUUUACAAUAUUAAUACUUCUUAUCGAAUGAGCAUGUACUAUAAAAAAUACCAAAAAUCAACCUAGUAAGCCAACCUCAAGAGGAUGGUUUGGAAAAUCAAAUUGGAGGUCAUCAGUAAAGUCUCGAUGGAUAAAAAUAAUCGACCUUUGGGGACAAUCUUUUUUUCAAAAAAAGAUAUUGAAAGAAGCCGGGUGAUUUCUAAAUUUUACUUAUUUGUGAAAAUAUCAACCACCCAUGAUCGAUUUUAAAAUUACACAAUUAUAAAAUGCACCAUCAAGGAAUCAACUUAACCUUCAUCUUUCAUAUGGAAGGAUACUUUUUUAUCACUAAAGUACUAAACCAUUGGUGAUUCUUGACUUGAGAUUAUGAUUUAUUUAUUUAUUUAUUUAUUUAUAUUAUUCAAAAAAAACAAAAAAAAAUUGGUGAAAAAAAUCAAAUUCUAAAGAUCGGAUUUCUUCAUCUUUUUGGAGUUGGAUUUUUGUUGUUUUCUAGUAGUGAUGAUGGGUAGUUGAUUAACUGUUUAGAGGCAUAUAAGACAUGCAUCUACACUUCAAAAAUUAGUAAGACAGGCAUCUUGAAGUCUCGUUGUCAUACAUGUUUUGAUGACAGAGAAAUUCUAUUUUUAGUAUGAUUCUAUUUAUGAAAGUUUUUCUAUUUAUGGUAUUAAUUGUGUCCAAGUAGACAAGAAAAAGUUGUGUUCUUGACUGAUAAGAAUAGACGUUAGAGUCGGGUUUCAUUUUAAAAGAGGACAUCUUGAUGUAUCUAUAAAAGGAGAAGGAUAAGACAGUUUUGGACCACCUAUUGCAUACACAAAGAAAGAAAUAUUAUCAAGCAGUAGGAGAUUAUAACAAGUAAAUAUGAAGUUAUUCAUUGAAGGCAAAUCAUAAUUGAGUUCUUGAUUAUAGUUAAAGGUUGUUUUUUUAUUACUGAGUAUUGCUAGAGUAUAACUAUUUAGUUAUAGCUAUUUUAUUAUGAUACUUGUUGUGAUUUAGCUAUUGAGGUUUGUAACAAGAAAUAGAUUUGGCUUCUUGGGAGAGUUCUUAAUAGGAAUAAUUAUAGCUAAUUGUUUGUGUUUAGGUACUAGAGCUAGAGUUAGUUCCUUUCAUAUUGAGUUGUAAUCAUACAACUUAUUUAGUUUUAGUGAAUUUAAGUUUGUGGUGGUUACUCCUUGAGAAAAGGAGGUUUUUACGCGUUAACUGACGAUGAAUUUAAUUACUAAUCAAAUGAUAUCUGCUAAGAACCUGAUUCCUAGAAAAAGCAAUUGGCACUAGCUUUCUUCAAUUGAUAUCAGAGUUGGUCUUUUCAUUAAAGGUUAACACCUGAAAAGCAUCAUAUGGCUCUCUCCAACUGCUUAGGAGGGUUUCUCUCAAACAAGACCACCACUGUUCAAUGAUAAGUAUUAUGGCUGGUGAAAAAAUAGGAUGAUGAAACAUCUCAUUAGUAAAAGUGUUGAUCUAUGGAAUGUCAUAUUGAAUGGCUCUACUAUUUCUAUGGAAAUCUCUGUUGAUAAAAAGGAACAAGUUCCCAUGAAUUGAAAAGAAUGGAAUGCUUUCGAUAUAUAGUUAUUCAAAAUAAUGCCAGAUCUAGGAAGAUUUUGAUCCUCCUAUAAAGAUACAAAACAAAACAAAUAUGGGAUACUCUUCAAACUACUCAUGAAGAUACUUAUGUUGUGACAAAGGAUAAGAUAGACAAUCUAAAUAGGCAAUAUGAAUUGUUCAGGAUGAAAAAACGAGAGACAAUUCAAACUUGCAUACAAGGUUCAGUGUAAUUCUAAAUGAAAUUUAUUCCUUAGAAGAACUUAUUCCUACUAAAAAGGCAGUUAGAGAACUUCUUAAUGUACUACCUAAAUCUUGAUAAAGCAAGGUUGAAGCAUUCACCAAAUCUAGAGACCUAGACACUAUAGCCAUGGAUGAACUCAUUGAAAAUUUGAAAACUGAUGAACUAAAGAAGAAUCAGGAAAAAGAUAUUGGAACAAAAAAAAAGGAUAGAACGAGUUUUUUAAGGCUACUGAAACUGUUGAUUAUGAGGAAGAGAACUUUACCUUGGUUGAUAGAAAGUUCCUAUGCAUGUUCAAAAGAGGUUAAAAAGCUUAGAGAAUGGCUCUCAAAGUUUUAAGAAAAGAUGCCCAAUUAUGUCACAAAUGGGACAGUCCAGAUCACUUUAUCAAAUUUUAUCCUAUGUAGGUAGUAGAAUAUAAAAAAGAUUGUUACUAAGACCCCAAAAAAUCAAAGAAAAGUGUUCACUCUCUUUUCAUAGCUGUUCAAAAGGCCCUAAUUGCUAUGAAAGAACUUACUAAUGAGUCUGAUGAAGAUCCCAACAAUCAAUCCGUGUUGGCUAUAGUUAAAGCAAAAGAAGGAAACACUCUAGCUCUUCUACCUAUGAGUAUACUGAAGAUGAUUCUGAAAAAGAUGACUCAAUAGAGAAAAUUCUUGCGCUCAGCCAACUCUGAUUCUGAUAAUCACACUGAACAUAAAGAUAUAAGGUAUAUUUUUCUAACUUCCAACCCAAACUGUAAAAUUACUCUAAAAAUAAACCUGAGUCUCUUUCACUUGUUCUUAUAGAUAAUUCUGCAUGUUUUGAUAAAGAAAAUCUAAAGAGUGAUUAUGCAUAUCUAAUAUUAGAAUAUGAAAGUUUUGAGGAAGAAAAUGCAUCUCUAAAGAAUUCUCUGGAAGAAUUGACAGACAAAGGAAAAAACAAGUUGUUAUUAUUCAACAAAACUUAGAAUAAGGCAUAAAAAGCUCAAUACUAGUCUUCUAGAAUUGCUUGAGAAAAAUAACUCACUAAAAAAAGAUCUGAAUAAUGAAAAAUUUGAGUUAGAACAUGAUAAAAAUAGAACAGAUCCUCAGAUUUACUUACUCACAUUCAAAAUUGUCAGUCCACUUUUCAACAUAGCUAGAAUUUAGAAUUGAGUCUUGCAAAGUAAACUAUUCCAUAAAUAUGGUGUGUAUUGUUUGUGGCAAGGAAGGACAUCUUAAGAAAUAGUGUCAUACACAUAUGAGAGUUGAAUAAAGAAAUUUUAAUUUUAUUAAUAGACACAGACUAAAGAACUGGGAAAAAAUUUCUCUAUUAUGAAAGGUCUUCCUCACUGGGCAAAAAGAGAUAUAAUUGGUCCUUUCUCUUACAAAAAGGGAUUGAAUUUGAUUUGGAUACCCAAAUCUAAAUUUUGAUCUAUGUUUUGUAGGAGAAACAGAGGGGAAGGAGCAAGUCUUGGUACCUUGACGGUGCUUGAUCUAGACACAUAGAUGAAAACAAAGAAAACUUCCUCUCUCACAUAAAAUUUCAAGAUGGAAGUGUUGCUUUUAAAAAUAGAAAAACUGAAGAAAUUAUUGGCAAAGAAAAGGCGGGAAAGUCUGUUUCUCAUGCUAUAAAUAAUGUCUACGAUGUUCUUGGUCUAAAACACAGCCUAUUAGGCAUAUCACAGAUGUAUGACAACAGAAAUAAUGUGUUAUUCACUAUAGCUGAUUAUGUUAUGACUAAUAUAAGUAGUCAAAGCUUAUUUCAUAAGAGAAAAAGACACAAGACUAUGUAAAAAGAAGACAUCCCCUCUAAAAUUUGAAUUAACUUGCUUCACUAUCAUAGCCAACACUCAUUACUAUAGCACAAGAAGGUUAGGAUAUGCAUGUUUCUCCAUUAUCAAUAAGUUGGUGUCAAAAGAUCUGGUGUUAGGACUGCCAAAGAAUAAGAUAGAGAAAUUUCUUGUGAGUGAUGCUUGUGCUAAAAAACAUAUAAAGUUCUCUUUUAAUCCUAAGAGGAUGGUGAGUAUUACUACCCUCUAGAACUGUUACAUAUGGAUAUGUGUGGUCCUAUGAGAGUCACAAGCAGAUAUGAAAAAAGAUAUAAAUUUGUGAUUAUUGAUGAUUACUCAAGGUUCAUAUGAAAUUUUUUCAAGCUCUAAGGAUGAAAAUUUUUGUGUGUUCUAUACAUUUUUUAAACUGGCUCAAAAGAAGCUGAAUAUUGAGUUUGUUAGAAUAAGGUCUGUUCAUGUUACUGAAUUUAAAAAUAUAAAAUUUUUAACUUUUUUUCUAGAAAUGAUAUCGAUCACAAGUUCUCUGCAACAAGAACUCCUUAGCAAACUAGUGUAGUUGAAAGGCAGAGCAGAUCUCAAAGAGAUAUGGUUAUAAACAUGUUGAUAGCUAGUGGUCUUCUCAAAAUUUUAUGGACUGAAGUUGUAAUUACAAUAUGUUAUCUCAUAAAUAGAUGUAUGAUCAGACCAUUACUAGAUAAUACUCCUUAUAAGUUGCUAAAAGUAAGGAAGUCAAAUCUCACCUAUUUGAAACUAUUUGAUUGAAAGUAUUUUAUUCACAGCAAUCAAAAGAAGGAACUGAAAAAAUUUGAUGUAAAAAGUGAUGAAGGCAUCUUAUUAAGGUACUCUUCACAAAGUAAAGCAUACAAAGACUUCAACAAAAGAAUAAGUUGUGUAGACAAGAGCAUCCAUGUCAUCUUUGAUGAAAAAUUAUGAAAUAAAAUAAAGUAGCAUCAAUGAUGAUGAUAAAGGUAUUGGGUUGGUACGUGAUUUAGAAGAUGAGAAAGAUGAAAAAGCUCACAAAAAUGUCAACCCAGCUGUUGAACAAGAUCCUAUGAACCAAAGAGAAUUGCUAACCUUAGGGGGAACUACUCAUAUAGAAGACUCUUCUUAUCACCUUAAUGUACCAUGUACUUUUAAACUUCUUGUUGGAAGGAAUUGGAAACACCAUAGCUCACAUCUAAUUGUGCUAACUCAGCAUACUUUUCACUGAUAGAUUUUAAAAAAAUCAAGGAAUCCUUAUUGGAUUCAGACUAAAUUUUCUCAGUGCAAUAAAAAUUGAACCAAUUUAAAAGAUGCGAGGUGUAAAACUUGAUCCCAAAUGCUGUAGAAAGAACCAUUAUUGGGGUAGAUGGAUGCUCAGAAAUAAGCAAGAAGAUUAAGAAAUGGAGACUAGAAAUAAAGCCAGACUUGUGGUGCAAAGGUAUAACCAAGAAAAAGAAGAAACUGACUUUGAUAAAACUUUUGGCCAAUAGCAAGAUGGCAGCAGUAAGAAUGAUGAUUGAAUUUUCCUCUCAAAUAUAUUUUGUGAAAAUUUUGGCUUUUUUAGAGACACCACUUAAUUUUGAAAAGGAAUUAAGAAACCUUUAUAAGAUACUUUAAACGAUCCAAAGCAGAAAAAUCGUUUAAGUUUUAAAGAUUCUGAGUAAGUGGUUCUUAUUAACAUUUUAGGAAGGUUUUAGGCAUCCAAAACGUCCACUAAAUUGCGGUUAUCCGAGCUGUUUGAAAACAUCUUUUGACUAACUUUUUAAGAUUGAUUUAUUGAAAAAUGAUUUGACUUUUUUUAAAAAAAAAAAACCUUGUGUAAAAUAGAUUCAGGCAACUUAGUAGGGAUUUUAACUAAGUCUAAACAAAUUAAUAAGCAAAUAAACACAUAAAAGGGGAAAGGGGGAAGAAAGUAAAAGACAGACCAUUGGGCCAAAAUGAACAAAAUCUGUCACAAUCUAAUUGGACUUUCGACUCAUUUUUCACCUAUCCUAAUCUAUGUUUUUGAGCCUUUUUGGCCCAAAACUUGCUUCACCUAUAUUAAAUUUACAACUUUGGCGUCGAGGUCCAAAUGAAUGAAUAAUGAAAUAAAGAAAUAAGUAAAGACUAAAUAAAUAAACAAAUAAGUUAAAAAACGAGACUUUCAAGUCUCUUAGCCGCUUCAAAGAUGGGAUUUAGCCCAUUUUUCUUCUUCCAAUUGUUCGUAUCCACACGCCAUGAGAUCAUGUCUUUCAAAAGUCUUCUAAAAAGUGGGCCUCAUUGGCCCAUUAUAGAAUGCAAAGGGAAAGAAUUUGUUUGGACUCCAACAGAUUUCCAUGCAAAAUACGAAGGGAAAUAGAUAUAAAAAUAACACAUAGCCAACCAAGGAAAAGAAAAUUAAAUUAGUUAACACAUGAUCCAUCAAAGAGAAGAAAAACUAGAUGAAAACUAUUGAGGACUUAACUAAACAUAGUAUGAGUCUUAAAUAAUCAUAAGCCGAUGUAGAAAAAGUAAGACGUAUUCUCAUCGAUUCAGUUUACAAAUUCAAUCAAGACAGAAAAAUUUAAAAGUACAUGAUCAACCCAAGAAAGAAAGGAAAUAUAAAAGAGAAUCAAUACAUGUCAACUAUAUAAACGAGGUAACUAGAAUCCUAUCGAACAGUCAAAAAUCAAAAUCAGCGUAUCCCUCCUUAGUAUUUGGAAUCAUCUCAAAAUGAGGUUUGUACUACAGUAACACUAAUUCAUUUUUUUAACAAAUACACCAGAAUGAAAUACACAACAUCAAAUUCGUAAACAAUAAAAGGAACAAUAAAUUGACUUUAUAGGACAGGGUUCAAUGUAAAGCAAAUCCGGCUCAAUUCCAAGGAAAACAUAUCAAACCCACCAAUAUUUCAUUGAAAGGUAUACAAUUCAAAUCAACAAAUUUUACAAAGGUAUUUGCUGAAGUUAGAGCAAAAUUUGAAACCACAAUAAGACCAACUCAAAGAGCAAUUUGGGGAAGGGGUUUGAUCCAUAGAAAACAAACCAAUAAGACAAGGAGGGACUCCCACAAAUUUACCAACUAUGAAACUACAACUACGAUGAUCUAAAAAUAGAAGGAGCAAAGGAAGAAGGUGAAAAUACUAGGAAAAUACCAUGCCAAUUCGAACAAACACCAUCUAAACGAGCAACGGUUAAAUUAAUACGAACAAAUACUAAGCAGAAAGCCUAAAAAAGAAAAACAAAUUCUCAAAGCUCCCAUCUUAAACCGAAGAAACCCCAAAUGACUGAAAGUCGCGACGAUGAUAAGACAACCCUAAAAGAUCUACCAUUCGAAACAACAAACUUAACUAACAUGAAUCAUCAUGAUACAUCAAGUCUGGCCCCUCGGCCUAUAACAAUUUUCGGGAAAUGAAAACGAACGCAGCUAUUAUCCAAAACACGGUCUUGAAAAACUUCAAGAGUUUUAGACCCUAAAAUCACUGUCUAAAUGGAAGAAAAAUGACACAAACCAGGUUCGAGAGAGAAUCAGCAAGCUACAUCGAUUUUUCAACAUCUAAGAUAAUAAACGAGACCAAAUUCAAUUAUACUAAAAAUUUUAUAAUUUUGACACCAACAGCACUCAGCAAUGGGGACCCCUUCAUUUUUAUUUAAGCAAAAUACACACACUAUCACUGCAUAUUACGCACUCAACUUUACCUCACCAUAUACAGCCAUACGAUUGACCCACACACUCAACACGGCCGACUCACGUAUAUGUUCUCCUCUAUUUGUUUCCCCGAAUACCCAUGGACAAAUAGAACAGUAUACAUAACACUAAUCAGGAGCUGGGCAGAAUGCUCAUACAUACAUCAUCUCACCACAUACACAAAGCAACAUAUACAGACGCAGAAAAGAGAAAGAAAAAUGGGUAGCAGCCAGAUCAACACCAUAAUCAAACGCCGAAUUCUAUAACUAAACUACAAACUACUAACUAUGAUUACGAAACUACGAAGAUAGAAAGAAAGGGAUGAAGAAGAAUAACAAAACUAGAAAGACGACGUGUGUUUACCUUUUACGGGCAGCAAAACAACUAGUUUCGAUCCCCAUCGGAAAGACUUCUCCGCUACUCCGAUGAUUUCGAUAACUUUUUGAGAAUAUUUUUUACUAAAAAGGGGUUUGCUUGAUAGCUUGAUUUUUUAGCCUUCAAGACUUGUUAUUUUUGGCUCAUGGAUGAGCUAUUUAUAGCAAAACAAAAAUGGGGAUAGAUUUCACGUUCCAUCGAUAUGGGACAAAGAGUUUUAGGGGAAUUUUGAAAAAUACCAUUGAAAAAUAUGAGGACCAGCCCCCAGCUAGAAAGAAAGAUACCCUCUUUGUAUGAAUUAUUCCCAAUUCAAAUUUUUGAACCAACGGAUAAAACCUAAAAGAUGAGUACGGAGACACGUCAUGGGUUCUAGAACCUUCGAAAUACAACCCCAGUUUUGCCACUUUAGAGGCUGAGGUGGAUAUUGAGGAAGAUUCGGGUUGAAAUUGAAAUCGGGUUUCUAACGGGUAGGAUUUCGCUGUUGAGUUCUUUGGGCUGGUGUUGGUUUCGCGUCACUAAAAUAGCCAGUGAUGUUUCAGCUGUUGGCAUCCGGCGUUGACGGAGCUUUUGGUCAAUGGAAUUGAAGUCGUUGUUGGCUGAUAGGUGUUAACUGAAAGUUUUUGUACAUUUUUUUUUUUGUUUUGCUCCUAUUGUUUAUUGAUGAUGAAGGAGAAAAGGGGAUUUAGUGCUGGGCCGGGUCAGACUAUUUGGGCCGACUGAAAUUGUUAUUGUGUUGGGUUACUGUUGCUGAUAGUUGGUUUAAUUAGGAAACUGGCCGAAAUUGGUUUAAUUCGGUAUUGGUUAGAUUAUGUAAUUGGAAAUUUGGCCAAUUCAUUUAAGUUUUAGCCAAGUUGAAAAUCAAUUGGCCAAUUAAAUCGCAAUUAUGGCCAAUUUGAUUUCAAUUAUCGCCAAAUCUAAUAGAUUGGCUAAAUUAAAUCAAAAUUCGAAAUGAAUUAAUACCUCC